GGGUCGGCUGGGCAUUGGCGAGCUCAAGUGGCUGUAAACCACCCGCGAAAGCUGUGGGGGUUCAAAUCCCUCCCGGCCCACCA
rnacentral:tRNA from 2 species